rnacentral:lncRNA from 1 species
AGAAAUGUUCUGACGUUACUCAAUAUGUUUUUUUCCCCGCCUUCUACUGCAGUGCUUGUUGGAGUUCAUCACCGCCAGUGGAACAGUUAUCCUUUGCUGUGAGGACACACCUGGAGAAGAAAUCAUAAUGGCUGGAAGAGACAUGCAUGGACUACUCUCCAUCCACGCCAGAAGACACGGUGGAAUGCACUGAUUGCUGACAGUGUAGUUCAGUAACAUUGCUGAGUGGAGGUACUGUCACAUACAGCUGUGUCUGGCUCCUGCUCAUACACAGGACUGAGGCCAAACAGCAGGCAGAAGGUGGAACAAGAUUUCCAGGUAAUUUAGGAAAGAGUUUAAAGCAGUACAGCUUACAGGUAGGGACAGGUGGGAGGUUUUCAAACUGCCCCACCAACUCUCAACACAGCGUUACAGUUACGGCUGCUGGCUCAGCUUCUUGGGAAUAAGGCUGUACGUUCAGGUAAUUUAAACCUCCAAUUCUGAAAGCAUUUUCUUUUUCAUACUGUUUUUUUAGUUUCGAAGCCUAUUUAAAAGGCUCAGUUGUUUUUCAAAUAAAAAUCAGACAGAUGAGAACUGGUGAAAGGGUUGCAAUGCUUUGAUCAAGUAUUAAGGAAGUUCAGCGCACACAACUGUCCCUUCUCAGAUAUUUGCUUUUCACCAUAGCUCUGAGUAUUUCAAUUGCUCACCAGUUCUUCUCCUGGGGAGCAGCGAAAUGAGAAUUUCUGCUUCAUACAUGAAGACUGAGCACAGUCGGGUCUCCGAACCAUUUUUUUUUUGCAUUAAAUCUGUUUCUCUCUCUGUUCUUCAUAUUCUUGUAGCUGUGAAGGUCAACGACAAAAAACAAAAGACAAGAUUUGGAGGGAGAGACAAUAUGUUUUAUCUGGAGAAAAAGUAUAGAAGUUGUUAGGCACUUAAAUCCUAGGCUUGAAAUGUACCAUGAUAGUGUCCAGUGGGAAAUAGAAUUUUUGUUUCCAAGGCUGUGGUUUGAAGAUUUUUUCUUUCAUUUGCCCUUGAGAAGCAAGCCUUGUAGGUCAAUUGUGGAGCAGUUUGAAAACAACUGAGGAGGGCUGUGUGUGGGAGGACAGAGUAAUCUGUGUUUGUUUGGUUUCUCACAGGGAAUGCUAGUGACCUACAACUUUAAUGGGAGUAACAAUCAACUGGUUCCUAAUUGAGAUCAGUUUCCUAGUGUGCCUGAGGCAGUGACUUGUAGUCUCAGGGAGCCUCCUCGGCAGGGAAGGCUUCCAAACACUGUCAUUUCAGCAUGGGAACCAUUUAUUGAACUUAGUAGCAUGAUAAAUGCUUUCAGUGAACCUCGUUACUGUUCAUGGG